rnacentral:rRNA from 2 species
GAAGAACCUUACCUACUCUUGACAUCCAGAGAACUUAGCAGAGAUGCUUUGGUGCCUUCGGGAACUCUGAGACAGGUGCUGCAUGGCUGUCGUCAGCUCGUGUUGUGAAAUGUUGGGUUAAGUCCCGCAACGAGCGCAACCCUUAUCCUUUGUUGCCAGCGGUCCGGCCGGGAACUCAAAGGAGACUGCCAGUGAUAAACUGGAGGAAGGUGGGGAUGACGUCAAGUCAUCAUGGCCCUUACGAGUAGGGCUACACACGUGCUACAAUGGCAUAUACAAAGAGAAGCGACCUCGCGAGAGCAAGCGGACCUCAUAAAGUAUGUCGUAGUCCGGAUUGGAGUCUGCAACUCGACUCCAUGAAGUCGGAAUCGCUAGUAAUCGUGGAUCAGAAUGCCACGGU